AGGUUGCAAGUUUUCAUCCUUUUCUUAUUCAGCUAAUGAGGUAGUUUGAUUAUCCACUUUUUAUGAAUAAUUAGUUAUUUUGUGAUCUUUUUUGACCACAACCAAAGCAUGCACCAAUGUUCCAACGACAAUCAUUUACCAUAUAAUUUUCACUACAUCGAAAAUACUUAACGUUAUCAAACAAUCUAUAAUUAUCACUCACUAACCUC
rnacentral:lncRNA from 1 species